AUUGAACGCUGGCGGCAUGCCUUACACAUGCAAGUCGAACGGCAGCAUGGAGAGCUUGCUCUCUGAUGGCGAGUGGCGAACGGGUGAGUAAUGCAUCGGAACGUACCGUGUAAUGGGGGAUAACGUAGCGAAAGUUACGCUAAUACCGCAUACGACCUGAGGGUGAAAGCAGGGGAUCGCAAGACCUUGCGUUAUACGAGCGGCCGAUGUCAGAUUAGCUAGUUGGUGAGGUAAAGGCUCACCAAGGCGACGAUCUGUAGCGGGUCUGAGAGGAUGAUCCGCCACACUGGGACUGAGACACGGCCCAGACUCCUACGGGAGGCAGCAGUGGGGAAUUUUGGACAAUGGGGGCAACCCUGAUCCAGCCAUGCCGCGUGAGUGAAGAAGGCCUUCGGGUUGUAAAGCUCUUUCGGCCGGGAAGAAAUCGCACAGGCUAAUACUCUGUGUGGAUGACGGUACCGGCAUAAGAAGCACCGGCUAACUACGUGCCAGCCGCCGCAGUAA
rnacentral:rRNA from 1 species